rfam:Aspergillus parasiticus ST-1 480, whole genome shotgun sequence.
ACAUACGACCAUAGGGUGUGGAGAACAGGGCUUCCCGUCCGCUCAGCCGUACUUAAGCCACACGCCGGGAGGUUAGUAGUUGGGUGGGUGACCACCAGCGAAUC